UUAAUUCACUUUCCAAUCUAUUCGCCAACUAUUCAAACAACGUCAGCAAGCUGUCGCCAUCUGAACGUCAACAAGAGACCAGAAGGAACUGCCCUAAAGGUAUUCGUUGCAAACCUCAAUCCCAAUCGCCACAUUCCGCCAAGGGUUAUAACACUCCCGAAGGAGCCACAUCCCCUUAACCUUUUUAUGACAAUCAAAAUUGAUGCUAACCAGCAGACAACAAAGUACGCGCUAGCAUAGUUAAACUUACUUGAUGACGGUUUUGACACUCGCCACCAGGUAAAUUUAG
rnacentral:rRNA from 1 species